UACGUAGGGCGCAAGCGUUAUCCGGAAUUAUUGGGCGUAAAGAGCUCGUAGGCGGUUUGUCGCGUCUGCCGUGAAAGUCCGGGGCUCAACUCCGGAUCUGCGGUGGGUACGGGCAGACUAGAGUGCAGUAGGGGAGACUGGAAUUCCUGGUGUAGCGGUGAAAUGCGCAGAUAUCAGGAGGAACACCGAUGGCGAAGGCAGGUCUCUGGGCUGUAACUGACGCUGGAGGAGCGAAAGCGUGGGGAGCGAACAGG
rnacentral:rRNA from 1 species